ACGAAUUUCCCCACUAGCAACUUCACCUAAGCACAACAAGGUAAUAAAUAAAUAAAAGGGUUUUCUAAAGGAUUUGGGCUUGAAUUAAAUAAAAUAAAAGAUUUGGGUUGGAUGGUUAGAGCCUAAUGGGUUUAGGGUAAAGGGUUUUUGGGUUAAAAAGGAUUAGGGUGCAAAGGUGGUUUGGGCCACACAACCAACACACACAUACACUACACAAACACACACACAUGCACGACAUGCACACCCACACAUACACAUACACACUACACGAUGCACGCACACACACACAAACAUACUACACAACAUGUUGGAAAUGUGCCCUAAAACCAAUCAUAUGAUGAUACUUUACGGACAUUUCACAUGUUAAACUAAUCUAGUUUAAUAUCAAGGGCAUAGAUUAUUGUUUUAAGCCGUCUCAUAUAAAUGUUAUAUGCUUAAACAAUGAGUCCAAGGAAUAUGUAAUUAGGAGAAUGUAAUUUAAAGAAGUUAGAUUCAUGAGACCAUUCUCUUUCGUAUUCAUAUCCUAAAUGUUCCUGAUCAUAGGAUUGCCAAUUGGGCAUUGACAGUCCGUUAAGAUCAGUAUGUGCUAUGUAUUCUCUUAGUGAGAGUGACUGUCUCGAGUCAUUGGUGUGACUGACACCAAGAUAAGUACGUAGGUGCUCAAUAAGGAAUGAGUUCACUGAACACGAUCAACGAAGAGUUCUCAUA
rnacentral:lncRNA from 1 species